UACGGAGGGUGCAAGCGUUAUCCGGAUUCACUGGGUUUAAAGGGUGCGUAGGUGGGCAGGUAAGUCCGUGGUGAAAUCUCUGAGCUUAACUCAGAAACUGCCAUGGAUACUAUUUGUCUUGAAUAUUGUGGAGGUAAGCGGAAUAUGUCAUGUAGCGGUGAAAUGCUUAGAUAUGACAUAGAACACCAAUUGCGAAGGCAGCUUACUACACAGUUAUUGACGCUGAGGCACGAAAGCGUGGGGAUCAAACAGG
rnacentral:rRNA from 1 species